CCCCAGAGUACAAAAACAAUUGAAGAAAAAUAGUCCCUACCCUCAAGAAGCUUACAUUCUUCUUGGAAAGGUCAGGGGAGUAAACAUAAUAUUUAAAUAGGCAAAUGUAUAAUUUUUCAUGAAGAAGCACAUUACAUUUUGAGGAAAGGGAAUAACUGAGGAUUAGUAAAAAGUUUCCUCUAGGGAAGGCUCCAAUCAUGAUGAAAAUCAGCAAAGGACACAGAAGUGGGCAGAUAGGUGGAGAGAGAACCAGGAGAGAAUAUCUAGGAGGAGGGGCUGUCACCAUUAUCAUCAUCAUAAUUAAUAUUUGUAUACCCUUUAAAGUUUUUCAAAGUCCCUUACAAAUAUCAUCUCAUUUUAUCAUUAUAACUCUGGAAGGGAUUUGCUAUGAUUAUCCCCAUUUUACAGAUAAGGAAACUGAGAAUGAGAAAGACUAAAAGACUUGCUGAGUGUCACACAGCUUACAAGUGUCUGAAACUGGAUUCAGUUGUCUUCCUGGUUCCAGGUCUGAUACUCUAUGCACUGUCAAAAGCUACCAGUGAAGUCAUGAAUGUCAAGAAGGCAAAAUUAUUUUUGUGCUGGGGAAGAUGGAACAAAGUGGUUAAAGGUGGAUUGAAAUCUGAGACAAGAGAAGAAUGGAAGGAAAAUACCUGGUUACACUCUACUAAUUCAAGUCACCAGGCCUGAUGAACUGCAUCCCCAGAUACUGCAAUAAUAGUUGGAUUUGAUUGCUGAAUCUUUGCCAACAAUGUCUGAAAAAAUCAUGGAAAACAUGAGAAAUGCUUCAGGAUUGAAGAUGGGAAAUGUCCUUAUUUUUGAAAAAGGAGAAAGGGUGACUUCUUCAAACUUUAAGCUGAUGGGAUUGAGCCUCAAAUUUUUACCAAAAUUUUAAGUCAUUCUAAAGAAAAUGAUCCAUGAACACUAAGAAAGAGAGCAUCAAUGUCUAAAGAGAUCAUUUGUUGGGGACCCUGCAGAGGGGAUCCUGUUUGAGUACAUACAGGUUCAUCAAAAUUCGAAUAGGUUAGCCUAACCACAUUUCCUGUUUAACUUUUUUUUAAAGAGUAACUAGACUGUGUGAGUUAGGAGGAACAUUGGGAGACUGGUAAACAUGGAUGUUAGUAAGGCAUUUCAUGAAGUUUGUGAUGUUUUCAAAGUGAAGAAAUUUGUUUUAGAUGAUAGGUGGUAGAGUUAGGGGGAUUAGGAAGUGUCUGAAUGAUUAUUCUCAAAGAGUAGUGAUUGAUGAAUAGAUGUCAGACUGGGGAGAAAUCUCUAGGGGAGUGAUCCAGGGGUCUCUUUUUGGUCCUAUUCAACAUUUUUAAUAAAUUGCAUUGAUGAAUAAUUAGGUGCCA
rnacentral:lncRNA from 1 species